CUCGAAUUGUAAUCCUACGAUCGCCACGUGUCAAGGGCAGAAACUGGCAGCUUGCAGUCUAUCUGAGAAAACAAGACAUACCCUCAAGCAGAUAAUUGCCAUUUACAGUCAUUCCUAUGAUCUCAGCACUAUGUGGGUUUAAUCAGCCUUCUGCUAAAAGGAACCAGGUCCAAGACAUUCAGCAUGGCAUGGUAGCUAAGCAAGAUCCAGUGUCUUCAUUCAGCACUGACAGAGUCACUGUCUCUGAGCAGUACUUAGCUACAGAAACUUUGAAGCCUUCUGCAAUUUAUUAUGCUGAGUGCAUCUAAUCAACAUGUAGAAUAAAGAUGGAGCUCCAGAGAAGUUAGCACGCAAUCUGGGUGACAGGUGCUGAGCAAGGACAGCCUCUUCCCAAUACUCUCCAAGCGGCCUGCUGUUUCCAGGGAAUGAUAUUAUCAUUCUUGGCAUCUAGAACAGGACUCAAUGUAAGAUUGUCUAAGGCAGUCACUGGCUACAGUUCAUGGAAGCUUCAGGACGGCACUUGGCAUGAGCUCUCAGUGCUAUGGAAAAAAGAAGCUCUUAGGUGGAAUAUUUCUAGCUAAAAAAUGUAUAGUUUUUUUUGUUGUUGUUUCUGUUCCUUUCAUUUUUAUUUUUAGAAAUAGGAUUUCAAAGGGCAUUUGUCCUGGUCCCUCAGGAAAGAACAUUUUCUAAAGUGUUCCCAUCAACAAUGCCUCAGGUGUUACAGGUCCCUACUCUUGGCCAUCCAGCUCUGCCACCGUGCCUGGAUUCUGCAUUUUCAAAGGGACCAGCUUACCAGCAGCAUCCUCUUCCUGCUGCCUCUUGACUCACACAGAUCCCAUCAAUAAGCAUUCACUGAGGCCUGCUCUAAGUGAGGCUCUGGGGAGAGUGCUGUGGGAGCUUCAAGAGCAAUAGCAGCCCUGAGCUCCAGGAGCUUCCCCUCUGAGGUGGGGAAUUGCGAUGCAUGGAACAUCUCCAACACACAAAGCAGACUCUUGCUAGGCUUCGAACUGGAAUUGCAUUGAUCGUAUUAACUUGGGGGAGAUCUGAUAUAUUUAAAAGAAAAAAAUAAGCCGGGCAUGGCGGCUCACGUCUGUAAUCCCAGCACUUGGGGAGACUGAGGUAGGUGGAUCAUUUGAGGUCAGGAGUUUGAGACCAGCCUGGCCAACAUGGUGAGACCCCGUCUCUACUAAAAAUACAAAAAUUAGCCGGGCGUGGUGGGUGCCUGUAAGCCCAGCUACGUGGGAGGCUGAGGCAGGAGAAUCGCUUGAACUUGAGAGAUGGAGGCUGCAGUGAGCUGAGAUCAUGCCACUGCACUUCAGCCUGGGUGACAGAGUGAGACUCUGUCUCAAAAAAGAAAAAAAAAAAAAAAGAAAAAAAUAUAGGCGAUGGAACAGAAAAGUGGGCAGUGGCUAUGAAGAUGCAAUCCAAAUAUAAGGUAAUACUUAUCACCAAAGAAAUAGCAAUUAAGACAACAGUGAGACAGCAUCUUGUGUCUGUCAGAUUGGAGGAAAAAUACUAAAUUGAAUAAUGUGAAUUGUUGUUGAGGAUUGUGGAACUAGCCUUCCAUGAAACGUUUCUAGAAGUCUAAAUGAGUGUAGACACUCCAGAGAGCAAUCUGGCGGUAUUUAGCAAUCCCAUACCUGGGCAUAUAACUUGGACAAACUCUGAUUAUAACAGACUAGGCCCAAGGAUAUGUUUAUUGCAGUAUUAUUGGUGGUAGUGAUGAGUUGGAGGCAAUAUAAGUUUCUACCACAAGGAGGGUUGAUAUGAGCGUUUGAUGAAUAGUAUGCAGUAGUCAGAAUAAUAAAACAGAUGUACACUCAGCAUGGAGAAAUCUGAAUAAGAUACUGUUGGCUGAUGACAGUAAGACAUGGAUUGAGAUAUAUAGUAGAGUGUCAUUUAUAUAAAUUCAAAACACGUGCACAAGAUGAUCAUGUCUCUAGUAGCUACAAAAGUGCUUGAU
rnacentral:lncRNA from 1 species